GUGAUGGUUCACGGCAUGGGCAAUGGCGAGGAUGACCAGGACCAGGCGACAGAUGAUGCACCCCUACGCACAAAUAAUCUUGACUGACGUUGUACUUCAGCUGGUGGCUUGAGGGAUCCAGACCAAACUCAGAGCACAUUCCUCACAGCUGCUCCUGCUGUGGGAUCAUGUUGUAGACCUCUGCUGCUUUUGAGAUGUAUCCUUCAGACAAGCCUUUUCCAGCCCAUGAUACUACUCUUUCAUUCUGCAUCGUGUAGAGAGGUUAAUGUAAUAAUUGCAUAUCAUGUCAUUUUUAAAUGUAAGAACUCACAAUAUAAUACUUGAUUCUGACUAAAUGAAGCAAUAACUUAUUUAGCAUAAAAUGUAACUUGAUUAUUGGCUGUUACAUUGAUGUAUAACUUUGGUGCCAUCUUUGUAUAUGAAAUGCUAAUAAAGGAUCUCACGAAUUA